GCUUACGGCCAUACCACCCUGAACACGCCCGAUCUCGGAAGCUAAGCAGGGUCGGGCCUGGUUAGUACUUGGAUGGGAGAACGCCUGGGAAUACCAGGUGCUGUAAGCU
rnacentral:rRNA from 1 species